CGAGAGCCUUGGGCCUCGGGGGAGAUGUCAUGUGGGUGCACGGGGCCUGGGUCCCGGUCCCUGCUCUGCUCCUCACUGUUUGACUGACCUUGAUGGGAUCCUGAACGUCUCAGAGGCUGCUCCCCUGUGACAUGGACCCUGGCGACCUGUACACCUGCGUCACCAGGGUUGCUCUGCAGGUCAAAAGAGACAAUGUGGGUGAAGCAGUCCCCUGGCGUCGGGUACCUUUUGUCGGAACUGCUGGGAGCUCUGUGGCCCAGGCCCACCCCAGCUUACUUGCUGACCUUGGCCUCGCCUUCUCUGAGUUUCAGUCUCCCUAUAAAAUUGGAGAUCCCACAGAGAUCUCAGACCCCUGCAGCCCCUGGUCAGCCCAGGGGAACAGACCCCAUGUUUCUUCCCAGCAACACUGCCCACUCAGCGAGGAAGCAGCCACGACGCCCACACUUCCUGCUGGAGCCUGCGCAGAGCCAGAGGUCCCUGGGGUGCGGCACCAUGGGCAGGCAGGGGGAGAUGGUCGGGUCCCCAAAGGCAGCCGGCACCUCCAUCUGGGGCCUGUGUUUUGGCAGCCCUGGGGUGGGUGGCCCCCUUUCCUUCUUGUUCUUUGGUCCCAGAGGAGGGUCCUGCGGCCUGACCAGGCUCUUGCCUUCCCUGUGCUCAGGCCUCAGAAGCCACAGGAACAUGGCCUAGGCAUGGCUCAGCCAGCAGCCCCCUCCCUGACGCGGCCCUUCCUGGCAGAGGCCCCGACAGCACUGGUCCCACACAGCCCCCUGCCAAGCACCCCUGGCCUGAAGCAGCCCCCGACGGCAAGCACAGGCCCGGAGCUGCUGCUGCUGCCUCCUUCCUCCUUCAUGUCCUGCGGGGCGGCUGCACCAGCCAGGUUGUCAGCACAGCCGGCUACUCCUAGGGAUAAGCCCCCGGUCCCCUCAUCCCUGGCCAGUGUCCCUGACCCCCAUCUACUCCUUCCUGGGGACUUCUCAGCCACCAGGGCUGGGCCUGGACUUUCAACUGCAGGCAGCCUGGACCUUGAGGCUGAACUUGAGGAGAUCCAGCAGCAACUACUGCACUACCAGACCACCAAGCAGAACCUCUGGUCCUGCCGACGGCAAGCGAACAGCCUGCGCAGGUGGCUGCAGCUGAGCAGAGAGGAGCCGGGGUCUGAGGACCAGGAAGUAGAGCAGCAGGUGCAGAAAGAGCUGGAACAGGUGGAAAUGCAGAUCCAGCUGCUGGCAGAGGAGCUCCAGGCUCAGCGCCAGCCCAUUGGCACCUGCGUUGCCCGCAUCCAGGCCCUGCGGCAGGCCCUGUGCUAGCGUGUUCGCCCCAGGAACGCAGGUGCUGGGCUGUCGGGGAGGCCUCAGGCCACAUCCAGAACAGAACACAAAGUUUUAAGUUUGAUUUUUUUAUUUCAAAAUGUUUUGCAAUUAAAUGAAUUACUGUUCA
rnacentral:sRNA from 1 species